GUAGUAUUCCCUCCGUCCCAAAAUUCUUGUCUUACAUUUGUUUAGAUAGGGAUGUAUCUAACACUAAAAUGUAACUAGAUACAUCCAUAUUUAGACAAAUUUAAGAUAAGAAUUUUGGGAUGGAGGGAGUACAAA
rnacentral:pre_miRNA from 1 species